GUGCUAUACAUGCAAGUCGAACGCACUGACGUCGACCGAAGCUGCUUGCAGUGGACGUUGAUUGACGUGAGUGGCGGACGGGUGAGUAACACGUGGGUAACCUACCCUUAAGUGGGGGAUAACAUUUGGAAACAGAUGCUAAUACCGCAUAACCAUUCAGACCACAUGGUCUGAAUGUAAAAGACGGCCUUUGGCUGUCACUUUUGGACGGACCCGCGGCGUAUUAGUUAGUUGGUAAGGUAACGGCUUACCAAGACAAUGAUACGUAGCCGACCUGAGAGGGUAAUCGGCCACAUUGGGACUGAGACACGGCCCAAACUCCUACGGGAGGCAGGCAGUAGGGAAUCUUCCACAAUGGACGAAAGUCUGAUGGAGCAACGCCCGCGUGAGGUGAAGAAGGUUUUAGGAUCGUAAAACUCUGUUGUUGGAGAAGAACAGGGACUAGAGUAACUGUUAGUCCUUUGACGGUAUCCAACCCAGAAAGCCACGGCUAACUACGUGCCAGCAGCCGCGGUAAUACGUAGGUGGCAAGCGUUGUCCGGGAUUUAUUGGGCGUAAAGCGAGCGCAGGCGGUUUUUUAAGUCUGAUGUGAAAGCCUUUCGGCUUAACCGAAGAAGUGCAUUAGAAACUGGRAAACUUGAGUGCAGAAGAGGACAGUGGAACUCCAUGUGUAGCGGUGAAAUGCGUAGAUAUAUGGAAGAACACCAGUGGCGAAGGCGGCUGUCUGGUCUGUAACUGACGCUGAGGCUCGAAAGUAUGGGGAGCGAACAGGAUUAGAUACCCUGGUAGUCCAUACCGUAAACGAUGAAUGCUAAGUGUUGGAGGGUUUCCGCCCUUCAGUGCUGCAGCUAACGCAUUAAGCAUUCCGCCUGGGGAGUACGACCGCAAGGUUGAAACUCAAAGGAAUUGACGGGGGCCCGCACAAGCGGUGGAGCAUGUGGUUUAAUUCGAAGCAACGCGAAGAACCUUACCAGGUCUUGACAUCCUUUGACCACUGUAGAGAUACAGCUUUCCCUUCGGGGACAAAGUGACAGGUGGUGCAUGGUUGUCGUCAGCUCGUGUCGUGAGAUGUUGGGUUAAGUCCCGCAACGAGCGCAACCCUUAUGACUAGUUGCCAGCAUUUAGUUGGGCACUCUAGUAAGACUGCCGGUGACAAACCGGAGGAAGGUGGGGAUGACGUCAAAUCAGCAUGCCCCUUAUGGACCUGGGCUUACACACGUGCUACAAUGGUCGGUACAACGAGUUGCGAACCCGCGAGGGUAAGCUAAUCUCUUAAAGCCGAUCUCAGUUCGGAUUGUAGGCUGCAACUCGCCUACAUGAAGCCGGAAUCGCUAGUAAUCGCGGAUCAGCACGCCGCGGUGAAUACGUUCCCGGGCCUUGUACACACCGCCCGUCACACCAUGAGAGUUUGUAACACCCGAAGUCGGUGGGGUAACCCUUUUAGGGAACUAGCCGCCUAAGG
rnacentral:rRNA from 1 species